UACGAAGGGUGCAAGCGUUACUCGGAAUUACUGGGCGUAAAGCGUGCGUAGGUGGUUCGUUAAGUCUGAUGUGAAAGCCCUGGGCUCAACCUGGGAAUGGCAUUGGAUACUGGCGACCUAGAGUGCGGUAGAGGGUGGCGGAAUUCCCGGUGUAGCAGUGAAAUGCGUAGAUAUCUGGAGGAACACCGGUGGCGAAGGCGCCCACCUGGCCUGCUACUGACGCUGAGGCGCGAAAGCGUGGGGAGCAAACAGG
rnacentral:rRNA from 1 species